GUGGGUAACCUGCCCAUAAGACUGGGAUAACUCCGGGAAACCGGGGCUAAUACCGGAUACGCAUGGUUCAAAUUGAAAGGCGGCUUCGGCUGUCACUUAUGGAUGGACCCGCGUCGCAUUAGCUAGUUGGUGAGGUAACGGCUCACCAAGGCAACGAUGCGUAGCCGACCUGAGAGGGUGAUCGGCCACACUGGGGCUGAGACACGGCCCAGACUCCUACGGGAGGCAGCAGUAGGGAAUCUUCCGCAAUGGACGAAAGUCUGACGGAGCAACGCCGCGUGAGUGAUGAAGGCUUUCGGGUCGUAAAACUCUGUUGUUAGGGAAGAACAAGUGCUAGUUGAAUAAGCUGGCACCUUGACGGUACCUAACCAGAAAGCCACGGCUAACUACGUGCCAGCAGCCGCGGUAAUACGUAGGUGGCAAGCGUUAUCCGGAAUUAUUGGGCGUAAAGCGCGCGCAGGUGGUUUCUUAAGUCUGAUGUGAAAGCCCACGGCUCAACCGUGGAGGGUCAUUGGAAACUGGGAGACUUGAGUGCAGAAGAGGAAAGUGGAAUUCCAUGUGUAGCGGUGAAAUGCGUAGAGAUAUGGAGGAACACCAGUGGCGAAGGCGACUUUCUGGGCUGUAACUGACACUG
rnacentral:rRNA from 1 species